GAUGAACGCUGGCGGCGUGCCUAAUACAUGCAAGUCGAGCGAACAGAUAAGGAGCUUGCUCCUUUGACGUUAGCGGCGGACGGGUGAGUAACACGUGGGUAACCUACCUAUAAGACUGGAAUAACUCCGGGAAACCGGGGCUAAUGCCGGAUAACAUUUAGAACCGCAUGGUUCUAAAGUGAAAGAUGGUUUUGCUAUCACUUAUAGAUGGACCCGCGCCGUAUUAGCUAGUUGGUAAGGUAACGGCUUACCAAGGCAACGAUACGUAGCCGACCUGAGAGGGUGAUCGGCCACACUGGAACUGAGACACGGUCCAGACUCCUACGGGAGGCAGCAGUAGGGAAUCUUCCGCAAUGGGCGAAAGCCUGACGGAGCAACGCCGCGUGAGUGAUGAAGGUCUUCGGAUCGUAAAGCUCUGUUAUUAGGGAAGAACAAAUGUGUAAGUAACUGUGCACGUCUUGACGGUACCUAAUCAGAAAGCCACGGCUAACUACGUG
rnacentral:rRNA from 1 species